CCCAUUAAUUUUAGUUGAGACAUUAGCCGAUCUACUUGUUUCUUUUGGUCCAUGGAAACUUGUCAAUAAGAUUUUUUCUAACUACGUGUACUCACUAUCUUAUAUAGGUAAAAAGAAAAAUUGCAUAAAUAUAUCAGAUAACUAAAUUUUAUUUUUACCAAAAGGAAGAAAUACACAACAAAAAACUUGGAAUUACAGAUUUUUUUCCAGAUCUGGCCUACUACUUUUGCCCGAAGCUAUUCUGCAGCCACCACAUCAAGCGCCGCCGACCCUUCGCGGGAUGUCAAUCGGAGUUCAUCGCCAUUGUUUUUCUGGCACGGAUCUGGCAAACUUCUUUAAAACAAUGUAAAAUCAAAAGACACCACUGGAGACGCCUUAGCGAGGCGUUCGCUGCUGCUGCUCGUGUUGGAAGGUGCCGAUGUGGGGGCGUCUCCUGCAGGCGAGGAAGUGGUCGGCCAGCGGUGGCGUUGGAUCCCGCAAGCGGUAUGACGUCGUCGAGGUUGCCGACGACCCAAGCGAGGCGGGGAGGUCGGAACGGGGCGCUGGCAUUCGGAUCCAACCGGAUCCCGACGAAUCUGAAGGAGAACAACGGCUGGGAGGUGAGCUCGGGUGAUGCCAUGGGCGCUUGGCCUCCAUUGCAGCAAGGAGGAGAGAGAUUAGAGAGGAGAACAUAGGAGAGCGAAAGAGGCGGUGCAAGGCGCGGCUCACCGGCGUGCUGCGGUAGGAGGCGCGGGUGGCGGCCCUUCGCGCAGACGGCAGCGACCGGCGGCUGCGAGCACUGGAGUUGCUCGGGCGCGGCUGAUGCUGGCAUGGUGCUCGUGUUUGUGUGGCUGUGUGAGAGGAUAAGAAUCAGGGGAAAGCACAGGUAGUGAGUAGAAGAAGCAGGGACCGUUGGAUCAGCUAAGGAUGCACGGUGGAGAGGCGUGAUCCGUGGGAGGUCUGGUUCAACCAAUCAGAAGGCAGCAGG
rnacentral:lncRNA from 1 species